rnacentral:rRNA from 3 species
CAGCGCCCCGCCAACGGUGAGGAAGCGGGCACUACGGGUAGAGUAACGCGUGGGAAUCUACCCUUGACUACGGAAUAACGCAGGGAAACUUGUGCUAAUACCGUAAGUGUCCUUCGGGAGAAAGAUUUAUCGGUCAAGGAUGAGCCCGCGUUGGAUUAGCUAGUUGGUGGGGUAAAGGCCUACCAGGGCGACCAUCCAUAGCUGGUCUGAGAGGAUGAUCAGCCACAUUGGGACUGAAACACGGCCCAAACUCCUACGGGAGGCAGCAGUGGGGAAUAUUGAACAAUGGGCGCAAGCCUGAUCCAGCCAUGCCGCGUGAGUGAUGAAGGCCCUAGGGUUGUAAAGCUCUGUCACCGGAGAAGAUAAUGACGGUAUCCGGAGAAAAACCCCCGGCUAACUUCGUGCCAACAGCCGCGGUAAUACAAAGGGGGCUAGCGUUGUUCCCAAUUACUGGGCGUAAAGCGCACGUAGGCCGAUCGAUCACUCAGGGGUGAAAUCCCAGGGCUCAACCCUGGAACUGCCUUUGAUACUGUCGAUCUGGAGUAUGGAACACGUGAGUGGAGUUCCCAG